rnacentral:rRNA from 1 species
UACAGAGGGGGCAAGCGUUAUUCGGAAUUAUUGGGCGUAAAGGGCUCGUAGGCGGCCUGGCAAGUGGAUGGUGAAAUCCCUCGGCUUAACCGAGGAACUGCCGUCCAAACUGCUUGGCUUGAGUCCGGGAGAGGUGAGUGGAAUUCCCAGUGUAGCGGUGAAAUGCGUAGAUAUUGGGAGGAACACCAGUGGCGAAGGCGGCUCACUGGACCGGAACUGACGCUGAUGCGCGAAAGCGUGGGGAGCAAACGGG